AGCAGCCGCGGUAAUUCCANCUCCAAUAGCGUAUAUUAAAGUCGUUGCAGUUAAAAAGCUCGUAGUUGAACUUCAGACCUGGCUGGGCGGUCAGCUUAUCGGCGUGUACUGUCCGGCUGGGCCUUACUUCUUGGUGAGCCGGUGUGCCCUUUAUUGGGUGCGUCGGUGAACCAGGACCUUUACCUUGAGAAAAUUAGAGUGUUCAAAGCAGGCCUAUGCCCGAAUACAUUAGCAUGGAAUAAUAAAAUAGGACGUGCGGUUCUAUUUUGUUGGUUUCUAGAGUCGCCGUAAUGAUUAAUAGGGAUAGUUGGGGGCAUUGGUAUUGAGUCGCUAGAGGUGAAAUUCUUGGAUUGACUCAAGACCAACUAUUGCGAAAGCAUUUGCCAAGGAUGUUUUCAUUAAUCAAGAACGAAGGUUAGGGGAUCGAAAACGAUUAGAUACCGUUGUAGUCUUAACAGUAAACUAUGCCGACUAGGGAUCGGAUGACCUCAAUUAUUAUGUGUCA
rnacentral:rRNA from 1 species